rnacentral:lncRNA from 1 species
CCGUGUUAGUGGAGAAAUAAUCAUUUCUUCUUGGAAAAGUGGGUUUAGUUGAAAUUAGACUUUUUGACUUUGUAAUUGUGAGUGAACAAUCCACACCAAAGAAACCUAAGUACAAAGCCUCAUAGGUCGUGUAGCCACACACUGACUUUUAUUUAGUUAAUUGCACAAUAGAUGAACAAAAACCUUUUGGCACUUGUGCACUUU